GACGGAGGGUGCUAGCGUUGUUCGGAAUCACUGGGCGUAAAGGGCGCGUAGGCGGCCUUAGGUGUCGGAUGUGAAAGCCCCGGGCUCAACCUGGGAAUUGCAUUUGAGACUGCGUAGCUAGGGUGCGGAAGAGGGAAGCGGAAUUUCCGGUGUAGCGGUGAAAUGCGUAGAUAUCGGAAGGAACACCAGUGGCGAAAGCGGCUUCCUGGUCCAGCACCGACGUUCAGGCACGAAAGCGUGGGGAGCAAACAGG
rnacentral:rRNA from 1 species